UACGUAGGGUGCAAGCGUUGUCCGGAAUCAUUGGGCGUAAAGCGCGCGUAGGUGGCUUCGUAAGUCCGUUGUGAAAGUCAAAGGCUCAACCUUUGAAUGCCGAUGGAUACUGCGAAGCUAGAGUACGGAAGAGGCGAGUGGAAUUCCUGGUGUAGCGGUGGAAUGCGCAGAUAUCAGGAGGAACACCAAUAGCGAAGGCAGCUCGCUGGGACGUACUGGACACUA
rnacentral:rRNA from 1 species